GAUGAAGAACGUAGCGAAAUGCGAUAAGUAAUGUGAAUUGCAGAAUUCAGUGAAUCAUCGAAUCUUUGAACGCACAUUGCGCCCGCCAGUAUUCUGGCGGGCAUGCCUGUCCGAGCGUCAUUUCAACCCUCGAACCCCUCCGGGGGGUCGGCGUUGGGGAUCGGCCCUUUACGGGGCCGGCCCCGAAAUACAGUGGCGGUCUCGCCGCAGCCUCUCCUGCGCAGUAGUUUGCACACUCGCAUCGGGAGCGCGGCGCGUCCACAGCCGUUAAACACCCCAAACUUCUGAAAUGUUGACCUCGGAUCAGGUAGGAAUACCCGCUGAACUUAAGCAUAUCAAUAAGCGGCGGA
rnacentral:misc_RNA from 1 species